GAUGAAGAACGUAGCGAAAUGCGAUAAGUAGUGUGAAUUGCAGAAUUCAGUGAAUCAUCGAAUCUUUGAGCGCACAUUGCGCCCCUUGGUAUUCCAUGGGGCAUGCCUGUUCGAGCGUCAUUUGUACCUUCAAGCUCUGCUUGGUGUUGGGUGUUUGUCUCGCCUCUGCGUGUAGACUCGCCUUAAAACAAUUGGCAGCCGGCGUAUUGAUUUCGGAGCGCAGUACAUCUCGCGCUUUGCACUCAUAACGACGACGUCCAAAAGUACAUUUUUACACUCUUGACCUCGGAUCAGGUAGGGAUACCCGCUGAACUUAAGCAUAUCAAUAAGCGGAGGA
rnacentral:misc_RNA from 1 species